UUAGUGGACACUACUAAGGAAAAAGGAAAAGGAAAUUAAAUCUUAUUUAUUGUAGCGUGCACUCACCAAAUAGAGAAGGCGGAUAUAGCAACCUCUGCAUUACUCAUGUAUCCGGCCAAUAAGACUAGAAUAGAAUUGUACCACAACUCUAAGCUACAAAGCAAGCCAAGAGAAGAAAUAAGUAAAAAUAGUUUUACACCAAAAUUAUGUAUGCAUCCGCAAACUUCCUCUCUCUCUAUCAGUGCAGCAGUGCAAUUGUCUUGAAAAUCACUUUUGAGUUCAUUUUAAUUUUUAAGCUUAGUACUUAAUUUGUGAAAAUAUAUAAUAAAACAUAUUCUUUGACAUAUAGCUGAUAACAAGGAAGAUGAUUUACCAAACCAUAAUGCCAGAGGAUAUCGAGAGCUUUAUUACAGGCAAUAUAUCCUUGAAAGCGGCCGUGCUGAAUCCUGUCCAAGUUUGAGGGCACCAUCCACCAAAUAUGUAUGCAAAUUCUCCAAACACAACAAACCAGGAUGAUAUGCAUAGUGCACCCAUCGCCCCAUCAACUCCCCAGUUCAAAUGGUUAACAAACAGCCAGGACAAGGGAACGUGUAUUAUAAUUUGCAGAAUGGAUAUCCAGGCAACAAAAUUGUUCUUUUGCUGCGCUUGUAGAUACAUUUGCAUCGUCAAUGUAAAAACAAAAUUGUAGACCAUCGGAAUAAACCACCACGAGAUGUACCCUGCUGAUCUGGCAAUGCCUUCUUCCUCACCGAGUAGUCUAAAGAGGGGCAUCCCAAAGAUAAAAAUAGGGAGAAAGAUAGUCGAAGUUAUGAAAUCAACAAUCCAUGAUCUUUGCAAAUAAAUACCCAUCAUAUGGUACUGUCUUGCUCCAUAUGCUUGUCCACAAAGUGUUUCAGUUGCACUUGACAUGCCUAUCUGUAGCAUGGAAAUUAUAACAUUUUAAAAUUUGGUACAAAUUCUAUUGCAUAGCCCAGAUCCAAGUGCCAAACUUCCAUUAAAUAAAUUGGUCGAGAGGUUUCCAUAUUCCAAUGUGGGAAUGGAAACUUUCCAUUUUUCAAGUUGAACACGUACAUAUUCGGUUUUAAUUUCUCAUUCAUCCAAACGUGGUUUUGAGAUAAACAAAUUAUAACAUGAACAUCUCCUCAUAGAGGAGAACGCAUAUGUCCUGAGAUAACAAAAUCAGGUAAUGGGACUCACUCGCUACAUAAACUAAACCAUUUUUCCAACAUUAUAUGCAUCUGUCUUUAUUGAAAUGGCAGAUUCUUUAGUCUCAGUCUGCUAUAACCGCCUCUUGCAGACCUUAUAAAUUUUCCAAGACUUGCACUGGGCUGACAUUUUAUCAUGUAAGUGCAUCGACCUUGAUUUUACCUCAAAUUAACCAGCAAGAUUUAGCAAAUUUACGAACAAUAAAUGAAAGGACAUAGAACAAGAAGUUACCAGUAUUCCAUUGAUAAACCGCACGCUAAGAGUUUGAACAAGUGCAUAACCAGCAAGAUCUAAUGAAUUUAAGUGUCCAAUAAAUGAUUGUGUCACUAUUAUGGUUCCGAAUGAAGCCACUCGCGCUAUAAUUCCAGGCAAUGCUACCCUCCAUAUCUUCUUGGAUUCUUCGUAAACCUUCCCUUUCAGACCGCCCACUUCUUUUCCUUCCGAACCAGAACGAAGCAGUCUCUCUUGAAUGCCAUUAUCCAUGGCUCUACAAUGACGAGAAAUCAAAAACUCAUCAAAAAAAUUUAUUCAACUCUCCAAAAAAGCCUAUUAUGUUAUAUUUCAUAAGGAUGCACAUUUCUAUGCUAAGGUGAUAACUUACUUAAAUGCCUCGAUUUGAAGUCAUAAACAAUAUCAGUUUCAUCAUGAGUGAAGUAUCCUGUUUUCUGUAUAAAUGCACAAUCAAACGGCUUCCAUUUAUACAAACCAUUCCAGUACUUGAUACUAUAUCAAAUUAUCAAGAGUUUCCUAAGGAUCAGUUCUAUGUUUUAGGAAUGAUUUCUCAUCAUUAUUUUCCUCCUAAUUUAUUUUCAUUACAGGUAGAGCUCCAUAUUAAGUUGUUAGAAGAAUGAAUUUCCCACAUAAAAGAGCCAUUUGUCCAGGUAUCAGAACCAAACGAAAUCAAUUUCCAGAGUUUGAUUAAUCUUAACUUGAAUAUACAAUAGUAAACGUCUUUCUACACUCUUUGGCGGCAUAAAUAUGUUUAAAGAAUUUUUUACUCAUCAGCCCCGAAGUCAAGAUUUAAAGAAGCAACAAAGUAGUAUUUCCCAUUUCCCGUUACAGUACUUUUAGCGUAUGCUACACAAAUCAUUUUUAUCAUUCCGUUCAAUUCAUUGUUGAAUAUAUGGGAAGAUGCAAAAUUGAAGUAAAGGGAAAAAUAUUAGCAUAAAGCUGCUCGAACAGGGCCAUUAUAGGGGGGCGAUGUCGGGGGGUGGGGGUGCCACAUCGGCCCUGGACGAACAGGGCUGAAGUGGCCUGUCUGUCUAGCACGGUUGAAAAUGUUAUGGCCAAGGUGAGUCUCACUUGAUAUUUCAAACUUUAUUAUCAAUCUUUAUUCAUGUUAUCAUGUUUAGGCUAGAAAACCAGAUCUGGUGCAUUCCCCAUUGCACUUAGCACUUCCCUGACUCAAAAGUUUGAACAUAUACAUAUUUGAUUGAGUAGUGACUGGAGAGUAAAGUAGAUGUUCAAGAAAAUUCUGAAGACCAUGACCUUUUUCCAGAAAAAUAAAAUUAAAUAAAUAAAUAAAUAAGAGAAAGAUCAACACCAACAGCAAUAGUGGCCCAUAUCCAAGGGUUAAUCUUUAGACAGAGGAAAUGCAGCCUUUUCAAAUGGAUACUUUAAAAUGGAGUAAAUUUUCUGGAUACUGUGCUUACUGUUGUAAGACUUUUUGGGCUUUGGGUUGUUUGACAGAGCUGUUCUUUCAAGAUUCUCUAAGCCAAUUUUUAUCAUGAGCCAUACAAAAAUAAUUACUACAAAAUCAUAAAGAAAUAAAUUAAGGGGAAAAUAAGGAUAACAAAAAAAUCUCACAAAGUUUGCUCAAGAUUUACAUCUGAUAAUCGAAAGGUUAAAAAAAAAACAGUCGGUUUAGUUUACAUUACAGAGCAAGGCAGAAGGAAAAUGUUUGAAGAUAAUGAACUGUCCAGCAGUACUUCUUGAUCAAACUUGUUGCUGCUAUAUUCCAAAGUUUUAAUUGUCUUUUGCCAAAUUCCUGUGCAGGCCGAGAAUUUUUAUUUAUUUAUUUAUUUAUUUUCACACAAGACGCAUAUAAUUAUUUUCAUUAAAAGACCUGAACGAGAUUUGAGUUCAUGAUCUCUGUCUAAAAGACUAAAUAGUAAGAGAGUGAACGCGAAAUCAAAUUUGUCAGUCUGAGAUCGAUAACUAACCAGAAACACACACAGGGACUUGAUUUAAUGAAAUCAAAAGGAAUAUCAAAUAAAUAAAACCAGUUAUAAUAGAGAAAAAUUUAGCAGACGACAUAUAGAUAUACAUAUAUUAGAUUACAGAAGUGAUCGCAGAGAGGGAACUUAUUACUUACUUGAUUGUGUUUCGAGUUUCUAAACAAGAAUUGCUUCAACCCAAAUCCUCAAGAGUUGACCUAAAAACUCUUUCUGUACUUUUGUGGCUGCAUAUGUGAUUCUUGAACACACUGAUACUCCUCUCUCUCUCUCUCACUCUCACUCGCACACAGAAUUUUGACAUAUAACAGAUCACCUAUAGUAGUUUUUAUUAAAAAUAAUAGAAAAAGCUGAAACGUGUUGACAAACAACAGACAACUAAUUCUUGAAUGCAUGCUAGUGUCUAUAGGCUACCUACCACCUUCUACCUCAUGUUUUCUAUUUCAAAUUCCUCUUUUGAUCUCCGUUGGAGAAUAAUGUUAUUUAACACCCGUUAAUAACAUUAUAUGAUACAUUUAAUUAAGAGUGAAAUUAUAUGAUUUAUUUAAUUGUAUUUUUCAUUUAAUGACAUUUAUUUUCAUCUAAAUUGAAAUUGUAAUAUUAAUGAUGCUAAAUAGUAUUACACUAAACAAUAAAUUGCAUGUGUAUAUAAUUGUAAAUAAUGACUUGUUACUUAUGUACGUAAAAUAAAAAAUGACAUUUUUCCACUUAAAUUUCAACUUUUGGAACUUUUGAUUGUCAUUUU
rnacentral:sRNA from 1 species